AGACAUUUUUGGAUCACUAAAACACAAAUUAUUUACAGUUCCAUAUACUAACAUUAUGAUAUUUUCACUGCUAGAGGUGGAAAGAGACUAUUAUCAUCGAGAACAUAACAGACAGCAAUGUGUUGUUUACUGCCUUGGGUCAGAAGAUGCCCAGAAGCUCAUCCAGAGGAAGAUCAUAUCUACUUCUCUGUAGACAUCCUUUGCACACAGUUACGAAGGCCACAAACCAGCAGCACUUACCAUCACUGGGGACUUGUGACGUGACACACUUGCUAACCAAAUGGCAUGGGAGAACCAAACCUGAAGCAAAUAUCUAUCGGACACCUUGCUUGGAGAACAUUUGGAAGACUGUGACUCAGGGAAAAAAAAAGAAAAAAGUGAAGCUCUGUAAACAAAAGACACUGUCAUCCAUACCAGGAUCUAAAUACAUAACCAAAAAGUUUCUUCUUGUAAUUAUAGAUGUAAUAAAAGAUGAAAUCCUUUAUCAAUAUAA